AUGAAUUUUGAUGAUUAUGGGAGUGAUGAUGAAUCAACUUUGCCUAGAAGGCGUCCCAAAAAUUCGGAGUCUUUAGAUCUUGAUGCUAAAUUUGGUAAAAGUGAGAUUGGAGAAUCCUCAACUUCUAAUAAUAUUGAACCUACUAUCUCGGAUUUCAAGGGAUUUGAUUAUGAUAGUUGCUCUUUAAAAGGUUGUAUUUCCUUGUUGCAAUCCGUUGUUAAUUCUCCUCAUGCUUAUAGUCAAAAUAAAGCUUUUACCAAACAUAUCGUUGAUGCCUUGAUGCAAUCUUAUUAUGAAAAACUUAAUUUGGAAGUUUCUAUGCCUAGAAAACUUAAUGAUGAGUGGGAACCUACUAUAAAUAUUAGAAUUAAAGAUUAUGAGUGUUUUGCUUUGUGUGAUUUGGGUGCUAGUGUUUCCAUGAUUCCGAAAACUUUAUGUGAUAUUCUAGGUUUCCAUGAUCUUGAUGAUUGCUCUUUAAAUUUGCACCUUGCAGAUUCCACCAUUAAAAACCCUAUGGGAAGGAUCGAUGAUGUUCUUAUUGUUGCAAAUAGAAAUUUGGUGCCCAUAGAAUUUAUCGUUCUUGAUAUAGAUUGCAAUCUUUCUUGCCCUAUUAUUCUUGGUAGACCUUUCCUUAGAACGAUUGGUGCGAUUAUUGAUAUGAAGGAAGGGAAUAUUAGAUUCCAAUUUCCAUUAAAGAAAGGCAUGGAUCACUUUCCAAGAAAUAAAUUCAAAUUACCUUAUGAAUCUAUCAUGUGUGCUACUUAUGAAUUUAGUGCCAAAGAUGGCACUCGUUAG
rnacentral:rRNA from 1 species